rnacentral:rRNA from 1 species
AUCGCCUACGGGACGCAGCAGUGAGGAAUAUUGGUCAAUGGCCGAGAGGCUGAACCAGCCAAGUCGCGUGAGGGAAGACGGCCCUACGGGUUGUAAACCUCUUUUGUCGGGGAGCAAAGCGAGUCACGUGUGACUCAUUGAGAGUACCCGAAGAAAAAGCAUCGGCUAACUCCGUGCCAGCAGCCGCGGUAAUACGGAGGAUGCGAGCGUUAUCCGGAUUUAUUGGGUUUAAAGGGUGCGUAGGCGGACGCUUAAGUCAGCGGUAAAAUUGCGGGGCUCAACCUCGUCGAGCCGUUGAAACUGGG